AUUGAACGCUGGCGGCAGGCCUAACACAUGCAAGUCGAGCGGAGCGGCGGACGGGUGAGUAAUGCCUAGGAAUCUGCCUGGUAGUGGGGGAUAACGUCCGGAAACGGGCGCUAAUACCGCAUACUAUCAGAUGAGCCUAGGUCGGAUUAGCUAGUUGGUGGGGUAAAGGCCUACCAAGGCGACGAUCCGUAACUGGUCUGAGAGGAGGAUCAGUCACACGGUAACUGAGACACGGUCCAGACUCCUACGGGAGGAAGCAGUGGGGAAGAUUGGACAAUGGGCGAAAGCCUGAUGCAGCCAUGCCGCGUGUGUGAAGAAGGCCUUCGGGUUGUAAAGCACUUUCAGCGGGGAGGCGUUACCCACAGAAGAAGCACCGGCUAACUCCGUGCCAGCAGCCGCGGUAAUUC
rnacentral:rRNA from 1 species